rnacentral:lncRNA from 1 species
UCUGCCCCCAAGAAGAAAGAUUAAUUUAAAGGCAAAGAUGGAGUCACUGUGAACUAACCUUCAUUUACACCUUCCUUUUCUUUUCCAGUGCAGAAAUUAAAAAUAAGUAUACAGCAUGAUGAUUUGAAGUUUGUGUGUCGAAAUCACUGGUAAGUUGUUGGCUGAGAGCAGUUCCUCCUCUUGCACUUGUGAAAACACAUUGAGCAUUUUAAGAGAUUAGACUAAGAAAUAAUUGAAUAUCUUUUCUUUAAAAAAAAAAAAAAGAAGCAGCAACCACUUUGGCUCCAUUAACGAAGAUGAAUUUUUCAUAAAUUUGAAACUAUCCAGCUGUGGGAGCUGUGAACUCCCCAUUUCUUUCUUUUCUUUCUUUUUAUGCUUUUCAUAUUUUAUUCAACAAACUUCACACGAAUGCUUCCUAUGUGCCAAUCAAAGGUCUAAGCAGUUCUUUUUAAAAUUUUUAUUGAAGUAUUGAUCUACAAUUUGUGUUAGUUUCUAGUGUACAGCAAGGUGAGUCAGUUACAUAUAUAUGUAUAUAUUCUUCAUCGUAUUCUUUUCCAUUAUGGUUUAUUGCAGGAUAUUGAAUAUAGUUCCCUGUGGUAUCAGUAGGAUCUUGUUGUUUACCUAUUUUGUGUAUAAUAGUUUGUAUCUGCUAACUCCAAACUCUUAAUUUAUCUCUCUCUCACUCUGUUUCUAUGUCUUUGUUUUCUAUGUCUGUGAGUCUGUUUAUUUCAUAAGUACGUUUGUGUCAUAUUUUAGAUUCCAUGUGUAAGUGAUAUCAUAUGAUAUUGGUCUUUUUCUGUCUGGUUUACUUCACUUAGUGUGAUAACCUCUAGGUUUAUCCAUGUUGCUGCAAAUGGCAUUAUUUCAUUCUUUUUUACGGAUGAGUGUGUGUGUGUGUCUGUAUAUAUAUACGUGACAUCUUUAUCUAUUCAUCUGUCGAUGAACAUUUAGAUUGCUUCUGUGACUUGACUAUUGUAAAUUGUGCUGCUAUGAACAUUGGGAUGCAUGUAUCUUUUCGAAUCAUUGUUUUCUCUGGAUGUGUCCAGGAGUAGUGGGAUUGCUGAAUCUUAUGCUAACUAUUUUCAGUUUUUUAAAGAAACUGCAUAAUGUUUUCCAUAAUGACUGUACCAAUUUACAUUCCCACCAACAGUGCGGGAGGGUUCCCUUUUCUCCACACUCUCUCCAGCAUUUUUUGCUUGUGGACUUUUUGAUGAUAGCCAUUCUGACCGGUGUGAGGUGAUACCUCGUUGUAGUUUUGAUUUGCAUUUCUCUGAUAAUUAGCCAUGUUGAGCAUCUUUUCAUGUGCCUACUGGCCAUCUGUAUGUCUUCUUUAGACAAAUGUCUUUUUAGGUCUUCUGCCCAUUUUUUGAUUGGAUUAUUUAUUUUUUGCUAUUGAGUUUUAUGGGCUGUUUGUAUAUUUUGGAAAUUAAGUCCUUGUUGGUCUCAUUGUUUGCAAUUAUAUUCUUCCAGUCUGUAGGUUGGCUUUUCAUUUUAUUUGUGGUUUCCUUUGCUGUGCAAGAGCUUAUAAGUUUUAUUAGGUCCCAUUUGUUUAUUUUUGCUUAUAUUUCUAUUGCCUUGGGAAACUGACCUAAGAAAACAUUGUUAAAAUUUAUGUCAGAGAAUGUUUUGCCUGUGUUCUCUUCUAGGAGUUUUAUGGUGUCCUGUCUUAUAUUCUAAGGCCAUGUUAAGUCAAUCUAUUUAUUCAAAUUUCUGUUUCUGUGUAGACACCACUAGAAGAAUUGUAUUUGAUGAUCAGUUUUGCCAGUGACAAUAGUAGGCAAUGAGAACUAGAGCCUGAAAAAGAGUAGAGGAUCUUAAUAAAGAGAAUAAAAACCAGUGACAGUAAACUGGUAUGUUAACAGUCUACCUUAUCAAGAAGACCAGUUAAGGCAGUUGUAUACAGAGGAGUGGUGGACACCAAAGUGAAAAACUUUGGUCUCAGAUUUUCCCUUCCGAUAAAAUUACAGAAAUGGCAUAAUUGCCAAGUUUAGUUUUUUCCACUGCAGUGGCAAAACUCAUGACUAUUCUUGUAGUAAAAGCAAAACCAUGGGGUCAUAUAUGUCAUGUGAGAAGAAAUUAUUCUUAAGAAAUCCAAACAAUUACAUGAUAUAAAUGAAGAUUUCCAAUUUUUUCUAUGGUUGAGAAUAAAUUAGGAAAAACAAAGAAAAUGAAAGAGGGAAACAAUUGAAUAUCAGCGAGAGACAGAACAUAAUAAACGCAGUGGUUAACGAAUCCAACUGGGAACCAUGAGGUUGCGGGUUUGAUCCCUGCCCUUGCUCAGUGGGUUAAGGACCCGGCGUUGCCAUGAGCUGUGGUGUAGGUCACAGAUGCAGCGCGGAUCCCGCGUUGCUGUGGCUGUGGCGUAGGCUGGUGGCUACAGCUCUGAUUGGACCCCUAGCCUGGGAACCUCCAUAUGCCGUGGGUGCAGCCCUAGAAAAGG